rnacentral:rRNA from 1 species
UCGAUUCCGGAGAGGGAGCCUGAGAAACGGCUACCACAUCCAAGGAAGGCAGCAGGCGCGCAAAUUACCCAAUCCCAACACGGGGAGGUAGUGACAAUAAAUAACAAUAUGGGGCCUUUACGGGUCUCGUAAUUGGAAUGAGUACAAUUUAAAUCUCUUAACGAGGAACAAUUGGAGGGCAAGUCUGGUGCCAGCAGCCGCGGUAAUUCCAGCUCCAAUAGCGUAUAUUAAAGUUGUUGCAGUUAAAAAGCUCGUAGUUGAAUUUCGGGAUCUAUCCGUCGGUCGGGCCUCACGGUCCGCACUGGUGUGAUGGAUUCCUACCUUCUGAAUAACCGGUAUGCCAUUAAUUUGAUGUGCCGGGGAAGCAGAACCAUUACCUUGAAAAAAUUAGAGUGCUCAAAGCAGGCCUAUGCCUGAAUACAUUAGCAUGGAAUAAUAAAAUAGGACGGCAUGGUUCUAUUUUGUUGGUUUCUAGGAUCACCGUAAUGAUUAAUAGGGAUAGUUGGGGGCAUUAGUAUUCAAUUGUCAGAGGUGAAAUUCUUGGAUUUAUUGAAGACUAACUUCUGCGAAA